rnacentral:rRNA from 1 species
UCGGGAAUUUUGGGCAAUGGGCGCAAGCCUGACCCAGCAACGCCGCGUGAAGGACGAAGUUUUUCGGAAUGUAAACUUCACAAGAAUGGGAAGAAUAAGAAAGAGCUAAUAUCUCUUUCGAUGACGGUACCAUUUGUAAGCUCCGGCUAACUCCGUGCCAGCAGCCGCGGUAAUACGGGGGGAGCAAGCGUUGUUCGGAUUUACUGGGCGUAAAGGGCGCGUAGGCGGCACGACAAGUCGCUUGUGAAAUCUCCGGGCUUAACUCGGAGCGGCCAAGCGAUACUGUCGCGCUAGAGUGCGGAAGGGGCAACUGGAAUUCUCGGUGUAGCGGUGAAAUGCGUAGAUAUCGAGAGGAACACCUGCGGCGAAGGCGGGUUGCUGGGCCGACACUGACGCUGAGGCGCGAAAGCUAGGGGAGCGAACGG